UUUAAUGAGAGUUUGAUCCUGGCUCAGGACGAACGCUGGCGGCGUGCCUAAUACAUGCAAGUAGAACGCUGAAGUCUGGUGCUUGCACUAGACGGAUGAGUUGCGAACGGGUGAGUAACGCGUAGGUAACCUGCCUCAUAGCGGGGGAUAACUAUUGGAAACGAUAGCUAAUACCGCAUAACAGUAUUUACUGCAUGGUAGAUACUUGAAAGGAGCAAUUGCUUCACUAUGAGAUGGACCUGCGUUGUAUUAGCUAGUUGGUGAGGUAACGGCUCACCAAGGCAUCGAUACAUAGCCGACCUGAGAGGGUG
rnacentral:rRNA from 1 species